AGAGCCCCUGGAACCAGGCAGAAAAGAGGUCUAAUCUUCGUGUGUGUGUGCGCGUGUGUGUUGGGGCGGGGUGGGAGUGAGGGGUCCAAGGCCCAGCCCCCACCCCGACCGCGAUCACACACUCAUACCCCUACACCAGGGCGCCAGUCCUGCUCUCUGCUUGUUGGGGCGCUCUCCCCGGCGGGUCCGCAGUUUGGUCCAGAGCGCACCUUUUCUGGGAUCCUGGGACUUCGGAGUCGCGGCGCUGAGCGCGGACCCCGAACUCUCCUCUCCCCAGGGUCAGGCCGUUCUGGGUUCUCCCAGCCACCGGCCUCCCUCGGCGUCAGGCUCCCCCUGCUGCCUCGGGAAGCUCACCGCCGCUCAAAGGCCGCCCUCGGCCUCGGGCCUCGGUCAGUCAACCGCACGGCCCCCGCCGCCAUUUGUUCGGGGGUUGGUGACUCAGAUUUUUCCACCCUCCUCCCAGCAUCAGCCUCACGCCUGAGGGGCCUUUUCCCGGGUUGUACGCAAAGCGGGCCCGGCGACCUCCGGGACGCCUCUCAGGCCUCCGCCUGGAGAAGACUUCGUAGGGGAAGACUCGGGCUCCGUGCCGCCUACCCGGAGGGGGCAGCCUCCAGCGCCUCCGAGCCGUCUGCCCGCAGCAAGUCCGGGACGCUGCAGCCCAGCUCCCACUCUGGUCCGGCUAAGAGAAGCUGGGCUGGGCCUGGCUGGGCCCGGCUUAUCGAGAACCCCGGCCGAUGGGGCUGCUUGUCACCUCCAGGCUCUCGGACACACACACUCACACUCAGGAUAGGAGGACCUUCGAGGAGGUGGUGCGGCCCGAGUCCCGGGGACUCAAGUGCCCACGGUCGCGACGUAAAAGCCAGGCCCUUGUUCACCCAUCACCAGCACCAGCCCCAAGCCCUUGGUCAUUCCGACCCACACGCUUUGCCUUUCUUGGCCUCGCAUCUUCCGACAGGGCCACCACGCCUCGCCAGCAGGGACCCACUUGGGCGGGAAGGGCCUAGAAACUCCCUAGCCCUGGAAUUUCAGGCCUGGGACCGUCAGGGAGACAAACUAGGCCCUCUCGUGCCUUCACGCCCUCUCUUGGUAUUUUAG
rnacentral:lncRNA from 1 species